AACGAACGCUGGCGGCAUGCCUAACACAUGCAAGUCGAACGAGACCUUCGGGUCUAGUGGCGCACGGGUGCGUAACGCGUGGGAACCUGCCCUUAGGUUCGGAAUAACUCCCUGAAAGGGGUGCUAAUACCGGAGAAUGUCUUCGGACAAAAGAUUUAUCGCCUUUGGAUGGGCCCGCGUUGGUUGAGGUAGUGGGUAGGGUAAAAGCCUACUAAGGCGACGAGCCAGAGCUGGACUGAGAGGAGGCUCAGCCAGACUGGGACUGAGACACGGCCCAGACUGGUGCGAGCGGUGGCGGAGGGGGAUAAUGGGGUGUGAGCGAGAGGCUGAACCGGCGAGGGCGGGAGGAUGGUGAAGGCCUUGGAAUUGUAAUGCGCUUUUGCCCGAGCUGUUAGUGACAGUACCGGGUGAAGAAGCACCGGCUAACUCCGUG
rnacentral:rRNA from 1 species